CGUGGGUUCCCUUAAGGAUGAGCAACUCUUUAAUGACCAAAGCUUAUAAGAAGAGGUUUGCAUUGCCAUUUGGCUCUAGCUAAGGCAAAGACAAGUGAUUUCGAAGCAGUGAUGCGUUUAGGAAAAAAAGUGGCUUCCAUUCAUUUGAAAGUUUGAAGCUUUCUGCUGCUGCUGCUUUGACUACAGAAGAGGGAAAAACAAGCUGCGUCUCUG
rnacentral:misc_RNA from 1 species